rnacentral:lncRNA from 1 species
CCUUUCUGCCAUGCGAGGAUGCACACAGAGGUUACCAUCUAUGAACAAGGAAGCCGCCCAGACGCCGAGUCUACUGGCACCUUGAUCUUGAAAUUCCCAGCCAGCUUCCAGAACUGUGAGGAACACAUUUUUGUUGUUUAGGAGCCACCCAAUCUAUGGUAUUUUGUGAUAGCAGCCAGAGGGAUGAAGACAGGCACUUGUACCCAUCUUUCGGAACAGGGAGGCGCUUCCUAGAGGAAUUUGCAGUAAGCUGAGUCUUGAAGGCCAAGACAGUGGAAACCAGAUGAGUGGGCCUGGGAGUGGGGAAGAGGCUCAAGGGGGAGGGAGCCGCACAGCACAGAAGAAAGACCAGAGAGGUUGCAGCUCAGCAAGUCAAUUCAUGCGCCGAGGACACAGGCACUCAAGUUGGUGGUGGCAGGUUGUAAAGAUUCUUAAGCGUUCUUCUAAGAAAGCUCUUGUUCAUCUGUUGGCCAAUGAACAGCCACUCGAGGUUUAAAGAACCAAAUAGACCAGAUCUAUGCUCAAUGAAACCUGUUUUUGAAUGAUAUGUAUAUUCUGGUAGUUGUGUGGUAGGGAAGAGAAACAGAUGAUUUACAUAAAUUCACUGAAACGAACUUGAAAGCAACCCAGAUCAUGGAGGGCUGGGAUGAAAAUCCCACACGAGCUGUGUGGCCUUCGGCAAGUUCCUCCAGUUCCCAUCCUUCCCGCUCUUCCCUGCGACAUGCCGAUAGACAAUAAUGCUAUGAAACAACUCCCGGCCCUCACAAGACUUUUUUUAAAUUUAACUUUUGUUUUUUUAAGUUGAGGGGCACACGUGCAGGUUUGUUCUAUCGGUACACUUGUGCCAUGGGGGUUUGUUGUGCAGGUUAUUUUGUCAUCCAAGUGUUAAGCCGAGUACCCAUUAGUCUCCUGGGCAUCAGAGAAGGCUGGGGGUUGUUUUCAAGGAGUUAUUUUCUAUCAGGAUGAUGUGGCAGAACCCAGUAAUGGUGCAAGCUCUGCUUGGUUUAGGGAAGGAAAUAACUCAUACAGAAAUCUGUGGCUUGGAAAACGCAAGCCCAAGGGCCUGACCAGAAGGAAUGAGGAGAGCUGGUUGGUGGAGGCGGUUUGGACAGGAGGUGGGCUAGCCAGGAAUAUGAUACUUUGUACAGCAGAGCCUGGGAUGCCGGAGGGAAUUCAACCACGGGCUACUUAUGCCGUCCAAGAUUUCUCUUCCUUUGGAAGAUAAACAUGUUGGAACUGUGUUAAAGAGUCUUUUAAAUCAAAUAUGUAAUGAAUAACAGCUCUGUUCUCGCUUUAUCUCUGCAGAGCCUUGAGUCAUGGGUAUAUCAGAACACCUGUGGAUCAGAAUGAAAUGGCAUGUGCUGUUGUAACUGGUUUUAUGCAUUCUGGAUUCGUGUCCCUUCGCACCUGCUUACCCCCAGCGUUUACUCCACGUGUAAUCACUUGCUCAAUGACUCAGCCCUAAACAGCGGAAGAGAACGGCUUUGUCCAUCUCAGUCCAGGGUGUGCUCAGCCCCUAGAACCGCGGGAGGCACAUGCUUGGGCUGUGCUCUAUGUGUAAGGUGGAGAAAUCGCAGGCAAACCAAUGCCUAGAGUCCCGGAUCACGUACAUGCUGAUGACGCCAGGGACACUUUCAAUAACAUUGGGUUUCAGGGAUAAUCUGGAAUUAGAAUUUUUGUUGUACGUCAUAAGAUUAAUUAUUUAUUGUGUCAAAUUUUCCAUCAGAUUCCCCUCCUGGGGCUGAGGACUCUAGACACUCAGCAGGAAAUAACUUUUCCUUUUUUCUGGAAAGAUGGAACUGCAAAUGGUUAUAACAUGACCUCACUCUCCUUUCCUCAGAACGUAGACCACACAGAGCAAUGAGAAAAUAAGACACUGUAGAUGAGUCUCGUCCUCAAAGUCUGUUCAAUUGGAGAGUGCGCUGACUUGCUUUCUGUGUUCUUUUAUGAAGGAAGAGAGAUUUACCUCUUUGCCUCGCAUGAGGUUAAACAUUGCAGCUGAGGGCCACCUUUGCAUCUGCCCCAAAUGCAAUAGCGCAGUGUGGUUGGGUGACGCCCCACGAGAGGAAAAUGAUAGAAAAUGUUCUGUCUUUGAAGCACUCCAGCCAUUUGUUCCCACUGAGCUUGGCUCUGGCUUGUGGAUAGAUUCCACGGGUGGAAUGCCGGCAUGUUCUUGGAGCACGAGGCAGACUUGGGAACUGAGUCAACACAUGGCGUAUCACUGAGACAGAGCAGCCCCAGAACACACACCGGGGAGUACAGGAGCCUAGGCCACGUACCCAACAUUGCAGGCAGAGAAAAAAGAAAGUGUAUUCCAUGUGGUGCAUUCCAGGCCUUAGAAUAAAAUUAAAAGGGAAAUCAAUGAAGACACAUCCACUGUUCACACUCUCAUCUUCAAUGUUUGACCAGUGGCUGAACUGUUUGGAGUUGCAGAUUGAUAUUUCUCUUUUAUAGUUUUAGGUGCUUGUAAUUGCUCUUUAAUGCUCAUGUUUACUCUUAUUCUGUGUGUCUUUAACUCAUAAAGACAGUUUUCCAUGAGA